UGACCUCCAAUGCGCAAGUCAGUGGCGUCACAUCCUGGCAACGGUACUACCCUGGGUUCCGGGCAGGGGUGGAACUGGAUUCUGCCUGGAUGGGGAUCGGAUGGGGGUGGAGGUUUGAUUUGGGAAGCAGAGCACAGCAGCCCAAAUUUGUUGUAAUGGCGGCGGCUACAGAAUUGAUUUUGGGAACAGAACACAGCAGCCUGAACUUGAUUGUUAUUUUGGCAGCUACAGGCAGAACAAGAAGGCCAAACAGAAGCCUCCACCAAUUGUCCUCCCUGCAGGAAGAUCAAAUUGAACAACUAUCCACACAAAGAAGCACUUUAAUGAGAAUGAAAAAUCAGGUGAAUGAUCAUAGUACCUGGUUCUAACUUCAUACCACUGAAAGGGGCACUGAAGAUGGUAGGAGAGACAGUCUUGAAUUGCUAACACCAUCCCUGCCCCAUCUCCCAGUAGUUGCUGUGUGGCACGGAAAGAGAAUCUGUGUGUUUAAGGGAGAGAGAGGGCAGUGAUUGUGGGACUUUGCGUUGGAACUCACUACUGCCCUGUUACAGCAGAAAGCAACACCAGGCAUAACUCAGCCGGUACCCACAGAGGGAGCAUUUAGACCAGCCCUAACCAGUGGUCAGAACCUGAGUUCCACAAGCCUCACCACUGUGGACUAAAGUGGUCCGUGGUGCUAAAUGAAAGGCAGUCUAGGCCACAAGGAUUACAAUUCUUGGGCAAGUCCUGGUGCUGGGCUAAGCUCAGAGCCAGUGGACUUAGGGGGCAUGCACCCUAGUGAGAUACCAACUGGGGUGGCCAAGCGGGUGCUCGUACCACCCCUCCCUCAACUGCAGGUAGUACAGCUUGCAGCUUGCCUGUAGUCUCAGCUACUCGGGAUGCUGAGGCAGGAGAAUGGCGUCAACCUGGGAGGCGGAGCUUGCAGUGAGCCGAGAUCGUGCGACUGCACUCCAGCCUGAGCAACAGAGCGAGACUCCAUCUCAAAAAAAUAAAAUAAAAAAUAAAAAUAAAUAAAUAAAGUAGUUGAUCCAUGGGUAGAUAUAUACAUACAUACAAAUACGUAUAUGUGUGUGUAUGUAUAUAUAUGCACAGUAGAACCAGAACUGUUAACCCCCAUCCUUGUGGGAAACAGACUUAUCAACUAGACUGCAGUGCUUUUCACUAUAGUGCUUCUUUCACUUAACGCUAAGCUCAUGUGUUUCUGUUGCUUGAUAGCUCAUUUCUUUUUUUCACGAAUAAUGUUCUAUUAUUGUUGGACCACAGUUUGUUUAUCCGUUCACCUACUGAAGAACAUCCUGGUUGUUUCCAGUUUUUAGUAAUUAUGAAAUAAGUUGCCAUACACCCUUGUAUGCAAGUUUUUUGUGUGGAAGCAAGUUUGCAAACUAGUUGGAUGCAUACCUAGGAAUAGCAAGACUUGUGUUCAGCUUUGUUGAAAACAAACAAACAAACAAAAAACUGACAAACCAUCUUUGAAAGUGGCUGUACCAGUUUGCAUUCCCAGAAGCAAUGAGUAAGAGUGUCUGUUGCUCCUUAGUGUUGCCAGCAAGUGGUAUUGUUAGACAUUCUAAUAGCUGUGUAUCUCAUUGUUAUUUAAUUCACAAUUCACUAACGAAGAAUGAUGUUGAUGGUCUUGUCUUAUGCUUAUUUCCCAUCUGUAUAUCUUCUUUGGCGAUGUGUCUGUUCAGAGUUUCUGCCCAUUGAUUGAGUUUUUAUAAAUUUGUUUUCUUAUUGUUCAGUUGUAAGCCUCCUUUGUAGAUUUUGGAUACAGAUCUUCUAUCCGAUAUAUGUUUUGCAAACACUUGGUCAUAGUCUGUGGCUUCUCUUUUCUUUUUCCUAACAAUGUCUUUCAAAGAGCUUUCGAGGUUUCUUUUUUAUUUUUAGAAAGUCUAACUUAUCAAUUUUGCCUUUCAUAGACCACCCUUUUGAUGUUGUAUCUAAAAAAUUUAUCACCAAAACCCAGGUCAUGUAGAUCUUCCCCUAUUUUCUUCAAGAAGUUUUAUAAUAUUGCAUUUUAAAUUUGAGUCUAUAAUAUACUUUGAGGUUAUUUUUUGUGAAAGAUAUAAAGUUUUAUCUAGGUUCAUUUCUUUGCAUAUUGAGAUCCAUUUGUUCAGGUGCCCUUUGUUGAAAAGACUAUCAUUUCUCUAUAGGAUUAUCUUUGCAUCUUUGUCAAAAAAUCAGUAAACUAUAUUUUUAUGGAUCUAUUUCUAUUUUGUUCCAUUGAUGUGUGUCCAUUCUUUUGGCAAUAUCAUACUUUGUAGAUUGCUGUACCUUUACAGAACAAGUGGUGUACCGAAGCUGACAUCAACCAUGAGAAAUCAUAUUUCUAAUAGGUUCCUUUUACAUGAUGUGAAGAGAAUGGCAUUUUACCUCUGAGAUCUUCCCCCUGGAAGUUCAUACUCUCAUUCUAAUCAUGACAGACGUAUAAGACAAAUCCCAGUAGAAGGGCUUUAUGCACAAUAGCUGACCAAUGCUACUCGAAACUGUGAAGAUCAAAGUCAUCAAACGUAGGGAAAGUCUAAGACCUGCCACAGCUAAGAGGAGCCUAUGGAGACAUGACGAGUAAAUGUGAAACGAUGGUCCUACAUGAAACUCUGGAACAGAAAAAAAAAUGCAUUAGGUAAAAACAAAGGAAAUCUGAAUAAAGUAUGUGCUCUGGUUAAUAGCAAUGUGUUAAUAUAGGUUCAAUAGUUGUAACAAAUGUACCAUACUAAUGGAAAAUGUUAAUAAUAGAGGAAACGGUGUAGAGCAUAAGGCACUCAAUACUAGGUUUUCUAUUUUUCUCUAAGUCUAAAGCUACAGGUUGAUUAACAAUGAAAAACUGUUAGCAAACUACUUAAAGAGUAUUUACCAAAAAACUACAGCAAACAUCAAAAAGUUGAAAGUUACUUUUACUUUGAAAUUGUAAAAGACAAUGAUUCUUGCUAUCACCAUUUCUAUUCAAUACUGUAAUAGAGGUACUAGCCAGUGCAGUAAUGCUAAGCAGAUGAAAUCAAAGGGCUAGAGAUAAAAAAUAAACAAAAUUUGCCUAAUUAACAGAUGGUUUUUAGAUUGUGUAUAAAGAAAAUUCAAAAUAAGAGUAAAUUAUUCAUUUAAUAAAAUAUAUAUAAAAGUUGCAGGACAAAUAUCAAUUUACAAAAAAAUUAAGUUUCUGCAGUAACAGUAUGAAAAUGAGAAUAAACAAAAUAUACCUUGUAAAAUGAAUCUAACCAAAGAAAGCCUAAGAACUUCAUGGAAAUUAAAUUAAUGAACUAAUUAAGGCUUUAAAUAUAAAAUAAAUGGAUGUGAGUAUUCAAUAUUGUAGACAUGUUAAUUAUUUCCAGAAGUAAUGUACAGAUGAUUGCAAUCCCAAUUUAAAAAUUAAAGUCUUUAUGUGUGAAUGUGUGUG